rnacentral:lncRNA from 1 species
UAAAUAGAGAACAGUAUGGAGAAUAUACAUCUUCAUGUUAGGGUGUGAAGGGUUAAGACCUCAUUAUUCAAUGACCAAAUUCACAAUUUACAAUUAUACUUUGACUUUCUUUGCACAUAACUAUUUUCCAUUUCCAUUCAUUUCAUGAAGUAUGAGUGUCUGCAUUACAUACAUGAAGCUCAACAUACAUGUUCUGGUCAAACUAUUCUUUCUUCACUGUCACCAAGAAUUCUUUGCUCCUUUAAGAUUGUGUUCAAAGGUUUAUCCAAUGAGUGUCCCCAGCAGAAGUGUUUUGACUUCUUUAGAAGAUAUUUCCAACAAUUCAUUGAGAUUUGAGCUUUUUCUUUCUUGGUCAUGUCCUCUUCCAUACUUUCUAUAGCUUUCUUGUCUUAUCUUUCCAUUUCAUCCACUCUUUUCUUGUUUACAACACUAUUGUUAGCUUUCUUGUUUCAAAAUGACCAUAGAUGACCUUUGUUGACCCUUUAACUCCUAGGAUCUCAUGAGUAAUUCUCCUUACUGUCUGACAUACAAUUCUUGUAAUGUUAAUUAGGAGAAUUUGGUAUUGAAUCAACCAACAAUCACCUAUUUGAUACUUUACCUUAUCCUCAUUACUUCUAUACUUGAUAUUGUAUUGACAUUGUAAGGAGUAAUUCUCUCUUGGUCACUCAUGGGAGGUAAAGGGUUAACUAUUCUAUCUCAGGCUGGUUAAUGUUCAAAUGACUGACAUAAUUAACAUUUAUACUUAAAAAAAGAACAUUUUGAUAUAAAAUACACCCUUACCAAAUUUUAUUGAAAACUCUCAGUCUAUAACUCGAUUCCAAAGAAAAUCAUUUUUAAACAGUUCGAGCUCAAUUAAUUGAUAAAAAAUAUAAAUUAAGUGAACUGAGAGAUUGACUUGACCCCUGUUAUUAAAAAGAUUGGAUGAUGCUAUCCACUGGAUCAAUAUUAUCCAGUUGGUAAGUACAUCUACACUAAUUAUCUCAUUCUGUGAACUCCUACAUAAUAGAAGGGGAGUUGGCAAGAGAAAGGAGAAUGAUCCAUAAAAACUUUACUUUUCACUGAAGCAAAUAUGCAGCUCACCAAAGGUUACCGAUUGGCUUUUGUUAUCAACAAUCUGAGAAUACCUUCUUCACUGUCAGUGAGUGUCACGCAUUUCUUGGAAUUUUUGUUCAGGAAAUUCAUAUAAAGAUUUUUCUCAGUUUUUUCUCUGAGUUCUGCUAAUACACAUUUAUUUCAUACUUAUGGGUAGAGACAGACACGUUCUACUUCAAAUAAGUAGUUCGGCCAAUUUACCACAGAUCCACAUUUGAACGCCUGAAAGAGAUAAGUCCAGCCUAAGAAUUCAUCUUACCAGACCCACAUGAUAUCAUCUCACUGCAAUCUCGUUUCCAACACGUGUUCACCAGUUUUAACGCUGGUUGUUGACCUAGUGGCUAUGUUUUUAAAAUUUACAGUCCGCACAAAGAAAUUUAGCUCAACUGAAGCACAUAAGUCAUUUUAAGCUGAUAUUCACCUUCACGAUAUAUUUCUAUAUAGUUCUUUCCUCAUUUCAUUAACGACGAUGAUGUAUGAUGUCGUUAUUGUCGACGAUUUGCAGCUUCAAUUACUAUCAGCGGCUUCUCCUCCAUGGAAGCACCGUCAUGUAAUCAUGUAAUCAUGUAAUCUAGUAAGAUGGCGCGCUUGUUUCUUCGUCUAAGUUUCACAUUUCGGAUAUUUUCAUUCGGUUUCUUGGCAUGGAGACCUGUUAUUAUAGGAAGGGCAUAUCAUGGAUAUUAAAAUAAUUGGUUAAGGCUGCUAGUGAAAGAAUAUAGAUCAAAACGUCGAAAUCCAGACCUAGAGAAAGACAAUGUAGAAUCGGAAGUUGUAGGCCUUGCUGUCCAAACAGUUUCUUCAAUUGUUCUGCUAUCCAACCAGUUAAUAUGUGAACAUUCAUGGUCUGUUGCAUGAGGCCAAUGAAAAGUAGUGUGUACCACUGGAAAUAUAUUAGCUUUUGGUGGAGUGUGUGCAAAAUAAAUGAAUAAUUGUGGAAAUUGAAAA